AUCACCUCGUUUUAUGGAAUUUCGACUGCGGUUUCGCUUUGGUUUCAAUGCCGACAACCCCUCCCCUUCACUCCUGUAGCACCCACACACAUUCCCUUCGAUCCCAGAGAACUUGUCUUAAGCAACGAGGGCCGCAAUGUUAUUGAGAAGCCAAACAUUCGGAUCGGGCUGAUGAUCAAUUUAAAUUAAGCUGGAAGAUUUUGUUUUAAUUAAAAAUCUUCAAAUGCGCUUAAUGACAAUUAAUUGGUCAACAUCAUCGACAUUGGCUCUUCGAUCGCCAGCGGAUGGAUCCAAGCAGUCUCCUAGCUUUGCACUUUCCAAGCAAAAGACCGACAACAGAGUCUUUACACCCCAGGAGAUUGCAGUGGAAAUGAUGUUGAUUCUCGGACUCAUCAGAACUGAGAUCGCCAGAUGGCCUCCAGUCACGCAACCACCAUAAACUGAGGUUAUUGUGGGCAUGUUUUUAGCUGCCUCAUUUCCAAAAAGCUUUUCUCAAUUGAAGCAAAUCAAACUGAAAAGUGAUGACACACCCACGCAACGCCUUAAAUCCAAGUAAUGGCUUCGACACAUAGUUGGAAGAAAUAUCAUAUGGCUGAUCCCUUUAUAUAUGGCAUAUGCAUGUGUGUGUGUACCUACCAAAGGUAUUUAAGAGUAGGGUAAAUCAUACAACAGCAAAACCCAAAUGAUGGCCAGCAAAAUUGACGCUAACAACCAGUUGUGGUCAGUUCUAAAAUGCAGGAGGAGUGUGGGAGGAGCAAGAACUCGGUGAUAAUCUGUGAAGUUUACAAUGAACGAAUGAAGUAUAAAGUGACCUCGAGACUCGAGUCCAGCUGACAGUCCCAAAAGGCAGCACAACUGAUGGACUGAUGAUGACAUAAUAUGCAAAUAACACACACAGAUACACAGGUAUCUGCUGUAGAAUUUGCCUGUGACACAGUUUGCGUUAACUGCAUUGCAGCUUGGAGCUUCCAGUGUGGCUAGCAAACCGAAAAAGAGUCAAUAAUUACAAUACAAAUUGCUGUUUGGGAAAAUCGGACCAUAAAUAUACGAAUACAACGAUUGCAAGUUGGUGUUUGUAUUUGUGGUUGUGGCUGUGGCUGUAGUCUAGGGUUUGUGGUGGCUAUAAAACCGGAGUUUUAUUUCAAUCUGCCGCCUCUGGGCGAUAUAUAUGGUCCUAUCAGCCCAGACCAGUCCAGCUAGCCAGCCAGCAAUCGAUCUGCGACCCAACAGUUCCAUCGAUUAGAUAAGGCCACGCUCGCUUUACGCACUCGAUGGAUGGACAGGAGGAGGCUCGACCUAGCCC